AUUGAACGCUGGCGGCAGGCCUAACACAUGCAAGUCGAACGGUAACAGGAAGCAGCUUGCUGCUUUGCUGACGAGUGGCGGACGGGUGAGUAAUGUCUGGGAAACUGCCCGAUGGAGGGGGAUAACUACUGGAAACGGUAGCUAAUACCGCAUAACGUCGCAAGACCAAAGAGGGGGACCUUAGGGCCUCUUGCCAUCGGAUGUGCCCAGAUGGGAUUAGCUAGUAGGUGGGGUAACGGCUCACCUAGGCGAAGAUCCCUAGCUGGUCUGAGAGGAUGACCAGCCACACUGGAACUGGGACACGGGCCAGACUCCUACGGGAGGCAGCAGUGGGGAAUAUUGCACAAUGGGCGCAAGCCGGAUGCAGCCAUGCCGCGUGUAUGAAGAAGGCCUUCGGGUUGUAAAGUACUUUCAGCGGGGAGGAAGGGAGUAAAGUUAAUACCUUUGCUCAUUGACGUUACCCGAAGAAGAAGCACCGGCUAACUCCGU
rnacentral:rRNA from 1 species